rnacentral:rRNA from 1 species
UACGGGGGGAGCAAGCGUUGUUCGGAUUUACUGGGCGUAAAGGGCUCGUAGGUGGCCAACUAAGUCAUACGUGAAAUCCCUCGGCUUAACCGGGGAACUGCGUCUGAUACUGGAUGGCUUGAGUUUGGGAGAGGGACGCGGAAUUCCAGGUGUAGCGGUGAAAUGCGUAGAUAUCUGGAGGAACACCGGUGGCGAAGGCGGCGUCCUGGACCAACACUGACACUGAGGAGCGAAAGCCAGGGGAGCAAACGGG